AUUGAACGCUGGCGGCAGGCCUAACACAUGCAAGUCGAACGGUAACAGGAAGCAGCUUGCUGCUUCGCUGACGAGUGGCGGACGGGUGAGUAAUGUCUGGGAAGCUUCCUGAUGGAGGGGGAUAACUACUGGAAACGGUAGCUAAUACCGCAUAAUGUCGCAAGACCAAAGAGGGGGACCUUCGGGCCUCUUGCCCUCGGAUGUGCCCAGAUGGGAUUAGCUUGUUGGUGGGGUAACGGCUCACCAAGGCGACGUUCCCUAGCUGGUCUGAGAGGAUGACCAGCCACACUGGAACUGAGACACGGUCCAGACUCCUACGGGAGGCAGCAGUGGGGAAUAUUGCACAAUGGGCGCAAGCCUGAUGCAGCCAUGCCGCGUGUAUGAAGAAGGCCUUCGGGUUGUAAAGUACUUUCAGCGGGGAGGAAGGGAGUAAAGUUAAUACCUUGGCUCAUUGACGUUACCCGCAGAAGAAGCACCGGCUAACUCCGUG
rnacentral:rRNA from 1 species